GUAGGUGAACCUGCGGAAGGAUCAUUAACACAAAUAGAAGUCGUGGUUCCGCAAGGAGCCAUUACCUCUUAACCAACCCGUGAACUUGUUUUCCAAUCAUCUCUCUCUCGCUCGUACAGAUGACUCUUAGGUGGGGUAGACGCCGUAAAAAAGCGAUUUCCUUCGAGUUGUAUAUUACAUGUCUGUACUUGUGAGAUUUAUCAAGACUACCUUGACUGCAGCAGCUGUUUGUGGUCGAACCCCCCCCUUU
rnacentral:misc_RNA from 1 species